rnacentral:rRNA from 1 species
CACCUCUAGCAUUACAAGUAUUAGAGGCAUCGCCUGCCCAGUGACUGUAGUUAAACGGCCGCGGUAUACUGACCGUGCAAAGGUAGCAUAAUCACUUGUUCCUUAAUUAGGGACUUGUAUGAACGGCUGAACGAGGGCCCAACUGUCUCUUAUUUUUAAUCAGUGAAAUUGACCUUCCAGUGAAGAGGCUGGAAUUACUAAAUAAGACGAGAAGACCCUAUGGAGCUUAAAUUUAUAAACUUAUUUAUUAUAAUAGUACUCCUAAUGGAACAAAAACAGUAUUAUAAGCUUAAAAUUUCGGUUGGGGUGACCUCGGAGAACAAAAAAUCCUCCGAACGAUUAUAACAUAGACCAACAAGUCAAAGUAACUUAACUUUCCAAUUGACCCAAAAAUAAUUUGAUCAACGGACCAAGUUACCCUAGGGAUAACAGCGCAAUCCUAUUUAAGAGUUCAUAUCGACAAUAGGGUUUACGACCUCGAUGUUGGAUCAGGACAUCCCAAUGGUGCAGAAGCUAUUAAUGGUUCGUUUGUUCAACGAUUAAAGUC